rnacentral:rRNA from 1 species
UACGUAGGGUGCAAGCGUUGUCCGGAAUUAUUGGGCGUAAAGAGCUCGUAGGCGGUCUGUCGCGUCUGCUGUGAAAACUCAGGGCUUAACCCUGAGCUUGCAGUGGGUACGGGCAGACUAGAGUGCGGUAGGGGAGACUGGAAUUCCUGGUGUAGCGGUGAAAUGCGCAGAUAGUCAGGAGGAACAGCCGGUGGCGAAGGCAGGCCCCCUGGGCUAGCACUGA